UACGUAGGGUGCGAGCGUUUAAUCGGAAUUACUGGGCGUAAAGCGUGCGUAGGUGGUUCGUUGUGUCUGUGGUGAAAGCCCCGGGCUUAACCUGGGAAUGGCCAUGGAAACUGGCGAGCUGGAGUCUGGCAGAGGGGGGUGGAAUUCCGCGUGUAGCAGUGAAAUGCGUAGAGAUGCGGAGGAACACCGAUGGCGAAGGCAGCCCCCUGGGCUAAGACUGACGCUGAGGCACGGAAAGCGUGGGGAGCAAACAGGG
rnacentral:rRNA from 1 species